UCAAGCUAAUAAGAGCAUAAGGUGAAUGCCUUGGCAUCAAGAACCGAUGAAGGACGUAAAAAGCUGCGAUAAGCUUCGGGGAGGCGCACAUAGCCAACGAUCCGGAGAUUUCCGAAUGGGGAAACCUAGCUGAGAAAAGCUCAGUUGGCGUACAGUGAAUCAAUAGCUGUGCGUAGGGAACGCUCUGAACUGAAACAUCUAAGUAGGAGCAGGAAGAGAAAGAAACAUCGAUUUCCUAAGUAGUGGCGAACGAACGGGAAACAGGCCAAACCGAGAUACAUGUAUUUCGGGGUUGUGGACUACAUCAUGUGAUGGAGGUAAGGUAGUAGAAUUGUUUUGGGAAAGCAAGCCAAAGAAAGUGAAAGCCUUGUAUACGAAACCUGAAGACCCACAGUAGUAUCCAGAGUACAUCGGGACACGUGAAACCCUGAUGGAAGCCGGAGGGACCACCCUCCAAGCCUAAAUAUUCCUUGAUGACCGAUAGCGAAGAAGUACUGUGAAGGAAAGGUGAAAAGAACCCCGGGAGGGGAGUGAAAGAGAACCUGAAACCUUAUGUUUACAAACAGUCGAAGUUUUUCGGAACGACGGCGUACUUUUUGUAGAACGGUCCGGCGAGUUGCAGUGACAUGCGAGGUUAAGGAGUACAGCUCCGGAGCCGAAGGGAAACCAAGUCUUAACUGGGCGUCUAGUAUGUUAAUGCAGACCCGAAACCGGGUGACCUAUCCAUGGGCAGGUUGAAGUUACCGUAAAAGGUAAUGGAGGACCGAACUCACAUCUGUUGAAAAAGGUGGAGAUGACCUGUGGAUAGCGGAGAAAUUCCAAUCGAACUCGGAGAUAGCUGGUUCUCCUCGAAAUAGCUUUAGGGCUAGCCUUGAGGUAAAGUCUAAUGGAGGUAAAGCACUGAUUGGACGCGGGUCCCCAAAAGGAUACCAACUUCUAUCAAACUCAGAAUGCCAUAUAGAUAUACUCAGGAGUCAGACUAUGUGAGAUAAGUUUCAUAGUCAAAAGGGAAAGAGCCCAGACCGACAGCUAAGGUCCCAAAGUGUGUGUUAAGUGGAAAAGGAUGUUAGGUUUCUAAGACAACUAGGAUGUUGGCUCAGAAGCAGCCACUCAUUUAAAGAGUGCGUAACAGCUCACUAGUCGAGAGGUCUAGCGCCGAAAAUGUCCGGGGCUAAAACACACCACCGAAGCUACGGAAUUACCUAUGGUAAUUGGUAGAGGAGCAUUCUGUAAGGAUGAAGCACAAUUGAAAGAGAGUGUGGACGAAACAGAAGAGAGAAUGCCGGAAUGAGUAGCGAGAUAUAUGUGAGAAUCAUAUAGGUCGAAUGUCUAAGGUUUCCUGGGUAAAGCUGAUCUGCUCAGGGUAAGUCGGGACCUAAGGUGAGGGCGAGAGCCGUAAUCGAUGGACAACAGGUAGAAAUUCCUGUACUACGUAUAAUCAGAACUGUGGGGACGCAGGAGGAUAGGAAAACCGGAGAAUGGAAAAAUCCGGCUAAGUACAAAGGUGUGAGUGAUAGGCAAAUCCGUCACUAUUAGCUGAAGUACGAAUGGGAGCGAAGAAAAGUAGCGAAGUUUCUGAAUCCACACUGUCAAGAAAAGCCGCUAUUGCGUUAUACGUACCCGUACCGCAAACCGACACAGGUAGACGAGGAGAAAAUCCACAGACCGACGGGAGAAGUGUUGUUAAGGAACUCGGCAAAAUGACCCCGUAACUUAGGGAUAAGGGGAGCCAACGCAAGUUGGUCACAGAAAAGAGGCUCAAGCGACUGUUUAGCAAAAACAUAGGUCUAUGCGAAACCGUAAGGUGAUGUAUAUGGGCUGACACCUGCCCGGUGCUGGAAGGUCAAAAGGAGAGGUUAGCGUAAGCGAAGCUUUGAAUUCAAGCCCCAGUAAACGGCGGCCGUAACUAUAACGGUCCUAAGGUAGCGAAAUUCCUUGUCAGGUAAGUUCUGACCCGC
rnacentral:rRNA from 1 species